UUCAUUUGCUUGUGGGCAUGCAUGCUCUGCUCUGGGAAUUAAAUUCCCCCUUUCAAUGUGUUUACGGAGAGUUAUAAUGGAAUGACACAGCGGGAUACUAUGGCCAAGACUCAUACAGCCGAUCCUAUAGUUAUGCAAUUUUCUCGCGAUUUGAUAUGCUGUGUAGGUCGAAGUUUUGGAAAACACAAGCCAUUCUUGUUACACAGAGUCUGCGAGCUGAUUAUCAACUGUACCAUCAGGAAACAGGCUGGACACGGCAGGGAAGUAGAAGACUUCCAGGACUCCAUAGAUGAGAGUGCAAAGAAGAAACUGAUAAAUGCCAUGGCCUCUCUGCAGGGUGGAGAUAAGCAGAGCAGUGAUGAGAUCUGUAAUGACUAACAACUGCAUGAGCCAGUUUAGUGGCACUGGACAGAAAGCGAAAAUAGCCUUUAUUGGAACACCCCUGUACAAAAUCAUUCUUUCUGCUGCACGCAAAGCAUCAAAGAAAACUGUUUCGUUUGCGACAAUCAAACGAGAAGUUUUAGACGUCCUCAGAUUCGUCCCAUACCUUCCUGGAGGAACUAAUUAUGCUAAG